GUGAUCUUCUGGGCAAGAUUGGUUAAGGUGAAAAGUAGAAAAAUCCCUCCUUUGAGAAGCUGCUGCCUUGAAAAAGGCAUUUUGGAGAUGAUAGAGUGAAGGGAAAUAUGUUCUGACCUUCCAUGUAACUUUAUAGGGGUUCUUGAUUGCAUCCUUCAGGCAAGUAAAAGCAUUAUGAUUUAUCUAUUUAUUAAAUUGUAUUGUUGGACCAAAUACUUGGU